GUUGGAUUCAAAGCUGGUGUUAAAGAUUAUCGAUUGACCUAUUACACUCCCGAUUAUGUGACCAAAGACACCGAUAUCUUGGCGGCCUUUCGAAUGACCCCGCAACCCGGAGUACCGGCUGAGGAAGCUGGAGCUGCAGUAGCUGCGGAAUCUUCCACAGGUACAUGGACCACUGUAUGGACGGAUGGACUUACUAGUCUCGAUCGCUACAAAGGUCGAUGCUAUGAUAUCGAACCUGUUUCUGGAGAGGAGAAUCAGUAUAUUGCAUAUGUAGCUUAUCCUUUGGAUCUAUUUGAAGAAGGUUCCGUUACCAAUUUGUUCACUUCCAUUGUAGGUAAUGUUUUUGGAUUCAAAGCCCUACGCGCUCUCCGCUUAGAAGAUCUUCGAAUUCCUCCUGCUUAUUCUAAGACUUUCAUUGGACCGCCCCACGGUAUCCAGGUUGAAAGGGAUAAGCUGAACAAAUAUGGGCGUCCCUUAUUAGGAUGUACAAUCAAACCAAAAUUGGGCUUAUCUGCUAAGAAUUAUGGGAGAGCCGUUUAUGAAUGUCUCCGUGGUGGACUUGACUUCACCAAGGAUGAUGAGAACGUAAAUUCCCAACCAUUCAUGCGUUGGAGAGAUCGCUUCUUAUUCGUAGCAGAAGCUCUCUUCAAAGCUCAGGCCGAAACAGGCGAAAUUAAGGGACAUUACUUAAACGCUACUGCAGGUACUUGUGAAGAAAUGAUGAAAAGAGCCGUUUUUGCUAGAGAAUUGGGGGUACCAAUUGUAAUGCAUGACUAUCUGACCGGAGGGUUUACCGCAAAUACUAGCUUGGCUUUUUAUUGUCGAGACAAUGGGCUGCUUCUUCACAUUCACCGUGCGAUGCAUGCUGUCAUCGAUAGACAGAGAAAUCACGGUAUACAUUUUCGUGUAUUAGCCAAAGCAUUACGUAUGUCCGGUGGAGAUCAUAUUCACGCUGGGACUGUAGUAGGCAAACUAGAGGGAGAACGAGAAGUCACUUUGGGCUUUGUCGAUUUGCUUCGCGACGAUUAUAUCGAAAAAGACCGUAGCCGCGGCAUCUAUUUUACCCAAGAUUGGGUAUCUAUGCCGGGCGUACUUCCCGUAGCUUCGGGGGGUAUCCAUGUCUGGCAUAUGCCUGCUCUAACCGAAAUCUUCGGAGACGAUUCCGUCUUACAGUUCGGUGGAGGAACCUUGGGACAUCCUUGGGGAAAUGCACCCGGUGCCGUAGCUAAUCGAGUCGCGUCAGAGGCUUGUGUACAAGCUCGUAAUGAGGGCCGUGACCUUGCUCGUGAAGGUAAUGAGAUUAUUCGUGAAGCUUGU
rnacentral:rRNA from 1 species